rnacentral:rRNA from 1 species
AGUGAACGCUGGCGGCAGGCCUAACACAUGCAAGUCGAGCGGGGUUUUUCGGACCUAGCGGCGGACGGGUGAGUAAUGCGUAGGAAGCUGCCCGAUAGAGGGGGAUACCAGUUGGAAACGACUGUUAAUACCGCAUAAUGUCUACGGACCAAAGUGUGGGACCUUCGGGCCACAUGCUAUCGGAUGCGCCUACGUGGGAU